rnacentral:lncRNA from 1 species
CCCCUCCCCCUCCUCCUCCUUCCCUCUGCCUUUUCCCUGUUCCUGCUGCUAUCAUCCCGUGAUCUUUACUAACAGUAGCGACUUACUACUUACUAAGAGGUGUAUGCUGGGCAACUCUUUCCUCAUCCUACACAAGAACCUGGACUGUUUUUGGCCCAUUCAACUGUAACACUUGCAAACAAUUCCAGUGGAAGGAAUUGUCCUAUUGGGGAUCUCACACCAAACUGGGGUGCUUGCCAGAUUCCUUUGGUGACCCCAGGGCUACCAGUGGACUCCAGCUUUUCACAUCCGGUCAUGUUCCUAAAGCAUCUGCACCUUCUGAUGAGCUUUAGGUCUUCAGAUAGCAUCACUUACAUUCAUGAGUUAAAACUUCCUUAUGGCAAUACGUCUCCACAGAUGCAUUUCCAUUGGCCUAAACAUUACUGGCACAUGGUACCAGUUUGACUAAAUUGUAUUUUUUCUAUUUUUGAUAUAGUGCCUUACCCAAGAUUUUAAAUGUUGUCUAAUGAGUUUUGCUGUAAGUAAAUCUUUUUUUUUUGUAAUUUGCUAUGCAUGAAGUCAUAUGCUGUAAUGUAAA